rnacentral:tRNA from 1 species
GUAUUGGUAGUUCAGUGGUAGAAUUCUCACCUUCCAUGCAGGAGACCAGGAUUUGAUUUCCAACCAAUGCA